CUGACGGUGUGUGAUCCGCCUAGGUGGCCACGUUGAAGAGGAUCGUAUUUUUGCUUGCACUGGAAUUGUGGACUCCGCUACUCGUCAUGACAAGAGGAACUUAGCGCCACUAAAGAAUUUCAUCUGAUGCAGGCUUGAGACUAGCUUACAACUUUUGUCCCCAGUCGUCACCUCGAUUCUUGAAUUUUCUAAUUAGCGUGUCGUCAAUUAUAGCACUUAGAGAUGCCCCAGUGACCCAGUUAAUAAAGUAGCACUAGGUACUGUAUACAAUGCGUUUUCCAAAUUCUCUCCUCCACUUUAUCACCUCGCAUUAUUCAGUUAUUUUACAAUAAAUACUUCGUCAUUCGUCUGUGGAUCGUCAUGACGUUGGUCAACCGAAUCUUCGACCAAGGCUUGCCUCGCCCAUGGAAACGCGUAAUGGACGAAGUCGAUCAACAGCACCGCGGCAUUGAUCAGACACGAAAUGGCCAAAAUCAGUUCUUGCCACCUAAAAAUCCCAAAAAAUCAGGCAUCGAGACUAAAAGACAUUGCGAAUCAGCAAAAAGCAUCUACAACGUCUUACCCAAUUGUUCUGGCGUCUCCUACUACACUGCUGAACCACGAUGCCCAUUGAUAUAUCUCGAACACCCCGCAUAUGAAACUCACGAUGCAUCCCAAGCCGGCAAACACCAUUUCCUACACUUGGCAAGAUUAGUGAAUGGGGUUAUAAUGCGCUUGGAGAAGUUAAUUGACAGGUUUAUUAUGCAGUCAAGUUCACAGUUGGCUUCCUUUAGAGAUACGUGAGACGAAGUACUCACUAUGAAAGUAUGUGGACGUCCCAUCGCGCUCACGGAUAUUUCGGAGAAGUUGACGAUUAUGUACCCGCUAACAAAUGAUGGUAUCAGGAUCCUGAUCCAGUUCGGAUAAAAGACGAGGACUGGUUGGACGUAGCCAUAGGAGGCUAGACAACAACAGCACUAGGAUCAACCAUUGAGGGUUAUCUCACCAAGGAAAUAAAUUUGCACGCCAAGGAUACGUUCAUCAAUCAGUCAAGACUUCCACGUGCAGUUUUACUCCGAGCACCCCAUUGACACAUUCUUGAAAGGCUGAUAAACUCGUUUUAUUCAUUCACGAAGGAUGCACCAAAAAAAAAAAAAAAAUGUUACGGGACGAAGGCAGGAAUUAUAAUCAGCUGUCGAAGAUUUAUUACCGCAUUGGCAUGUGAGUUUUGCAGAGGUUCAGUUUUGUUUUGGCGUCGAGUCGGCUUGUGGCAGGCGCGAACGAUAAGUCAGGGUGACGGACCUUUACGCAAAAUAUUUAUUCUGUAUAGGUAUGGAACAGUAUUUUUUUCCAACAUACCCGCAUCGCGUUUCUUAACAGGCUUUGUAAAAAUGGUUGCGAGGGCGUUCGAGCUUCUGAAAAAUCCCAACUUCGUGCUGAAGAUUGUAGAGCUGGUAUUGUGCUCGAAACCAUGACUCUGCCCAACGUUUAUUUCUAUACUGUUCGCGAAAUUGACAAUCAUUUGUAAUUUCUUAACAGGUCCUAGUCCUGGUUGGUUUCGUCUUGGUAUUGCUUCAGGAUAGAUUCACCUGGCCAAAUAGCUUGACGAUGGUAUUUUGCAUAGACACAGGAACCUAUACGAUCAUAUUGAUGGUUAUUUUGCUAGCCUAUGUGCUAGAGCAGCCACAUCAGCUGAUCGUUAGUUUACAGUAAAAAAAAGAAUGAGCUCUGCCGGAAGUGGAAACUGCAAUGUUUUAUAAAAGAAAUUCUUAUGAAAGGAAUUGAGGUUCACGGUUAUUGGCGUCGUCGUCUUCGUGAUUGGCAGUAUCAUGGCGUUUCGUAACUACGAAGAAGUGCAAGAUGGGUCAGACGGGAAAGUUUCAAUGCUCGAUUUCCAUCUGGGCAUCAUCCUCUCGGUCACAGCUAUUGUCAUGGUCUUCGACACAUUCCUCGGCAUGAAAUAUAUCGGCGAUGUCAUGAGCCGAGACUGAAUUUCAGUACGAUGCUGGACGCCGACGAUUCAAUAAUGACUGGUUAAUUUUUUUCUCUUGAAUGAUUAUUAAUGUUACAUUAUCAUAGCCAGAUACAAUGGAAACAGUAAGAAAUAGAAAAAGCAAAUGUUCGGUCAGGAAUGUUUUUUACUUAUAGACAUAUCUGAAGAUCUUUAUUUCUCAUUAUCUUUGAAGCAUUUAUGGAGCAUCAGGUGGUCUCGGUGUAUCGCGAUUUCCUCCUGACCCCAUCUUCAUCCUCGUCCUCAUCAUCGUUUGAGCUGUGCGUCUCAAUUACUUUUGGUGUAGAAUUGCAUGUCAGGUCCAGAACCAUGGUGAUGGAGCAUGCUUAAAAACUCAAUAUUAUGUAAAUACCAUCAACUUUCUUUAAAAUAACGACCAAUUAUUCAUCUGCUUACCGUACAUCCAGAAAGCCAACAUUCCCUCGGACACGUAGGAGUAGGGCUUUCCAUCUUUCGUCUCUCUCUCUUGGAAGACGAAAACUCUGAGCACCAUCAAAGUAGCUGAUAUGAAAUUGAGGGCUGCUCCCAAGCCCGUGAAGAGAACGGACUAUGUUAAGAAACAAUGUCACAAGAAAAUGAAUGGUCAAACGAUUUUACGGUUCUUACCACAAAAUACUGCGGCUUUCCAGACAGUCCAACGCAUAUCAGUGCAAUUGAUAUUAAG